GUCCACGCUGUAAACGAUGUAUGCUAGACGUUUGGGGCUUAGCCUCUGGGUGUCGCAGUUAACACAAUAAGCAUACCGCCUGGGGAGUACGGCCGCAAGGUUGAAACUCAAAUGAAUUGACGGGGGCCCGCACAAGCGGUGGAGUAUGUGGUUUAAUUCGACGCAACGCGAAGAACCUUACCAGCUCUUGACAUGUGAAGUUUGGGUCUGAGAGAUCAGAUCCUUCGGUUCGGCCGGCUUCAACACAGGUGCUGCAUGGCUGUCGU
rnacentral:rRNA from 1 species